CCCUUAGAUGUUCUGGGCCGCACGCGCGCUACACUGACAGAGCCAGCGAGUUUUUUUCCUUGGCCGGAAGGUCUGGGUAAUCUUGUGAAACUCUGUCGUGCUGGGGAUAGAGCAUUGCAAUUAUUGCUCUUCAACGAGGAAUUCCUAGUAAGCGUGAGUCAUCAGCUCGCGUUGAUUACGUCCCUGCCCUUUGUACACACCGCCCGUCGCUACUACCGAUUGAAUGGUCCGGUGAAGCCUCCGGAUUGGCGCGCACCUCGGUGCCGCCGAGAAGUUGGCUAAACCUUACCAUUUAGAGGAAGGUGAAGUCGUAACA
rnacentral:rRNA from 1 species